UACGUAGGUGGCGAGCGUUGUCCGGAAUUACUGGGUGUAAAGCGCGUGUAGGCGGCAGGCCAAGUCGGUGGUGAAAGCGCCCGGCUCAACUGGGCGAGGUCCAUGGAAACUGGUCAGCUGGAGGACGGUAGAGGCGAGUGGAAUUCCCGGUGUAGUGGUGAAAUGCGUAGAGAUCGGGAGGAACACCUGUGGCGAAGGCGGCUCGCUGGGCCGGUCCUGACGCUGAAACGCGAAGGCGUGGGGAGCAAACAGG
rnacentral:rRNA from 1 species